AUUAAACGCUGGCGGUAUGCUUAACACAUGCAAGUCGAACGGUAGCAGGCCUUCGGGUGCUGACGAGUGGCGGACGGGUGAGUAAUGCAUAGGAAUCUGCCUGUUAGUGGGGGACAACUUAGGGAAACUUAAGCUAAUACCGCAUACGCCCUUAGGGGGAAAGCGGGGGACCUUCGGGCCUCGCGCUAACAGAUGAGCCUAUGUUGGAUUAGCUAGUUGGUAGGGUAAAGGCCUACCAAGGCGACGAUCCAUAGCUGGUCUGAGAGGAUGAUCAGCCACACUGGGACUGAGACACGGCCCAGACUCCUACGGGAGGCAGCAGUGGGGAAUAUUGGACAAUGGGCGAAAGCCUGAUCCAGCAAUACCGCGUGUGUGAAGAAGGCCUGAGGGUUGUAAAGCACUUUCAAUAGGGAGGAAAAAGCGUAGGCGAAUACCCUGCGUAUUGACAUUACCUAUAGAAGAAGCACCGGCUAACUCCGUGCCAGCCGCCGCCGUAACAC
rnacentral:rRNA from 1 species